rnacentral:rRNA from 1 species
UACGUAGGGUGCAGGCGUUAAUCGGAAUUACUGGGCGUAAAGGGCGCGUAGGCGGCCACCGCAAGUCGACUGUGAAAUCUCCGGGCUUAACCCGGAAAGGUCAGCCGAUACUGCGGGGCUAGAGUGCAGAAGGGGCAACUGGAAUUCUCGGUGUAGCGGUGAAAUGCGUAGAUAUCGAGAGGAACACCUGCGGCGAAGGCGGGUUGCUGGGCUGACACUGACGCUGAGGCGCGAAAGCUAGGGGAGCGAACGGG